AUGCUCACUUGGGCAGUGCGUAUACUAAAAUUGGAACCAUACAGAGAAGAUUAGCAUGGCUCCUGCACAAGGAUGACAUGAAAUUUCACGAAGUGUUCCAUAUUAAA
rnacentral:snRNA from 1 species